AGUACAGAGCUGUGGCCGAUGAUGAACUCCUGGGUGACCCAGCCCAGGUCAAGACAAACACCCAUCCAGGAUGUCACUGUGGCUGCGGUCCUCAGACUCAUAGGGCGCCUCGGCAGCUCGGAAUAAAGGAGAGAUGCGGCUCGUCUGUGAAGAACAUCGCCAGGGUCAUCAACACAUUCGCCAGACACGGACAGUCAGAAGGUGUUCCCUGGGAGGUCCAGCUGGCAGCUGUCUACACUGUCUACGACCUGUCGCCUAGCAACCCCAAGGAGGCUCUGGCUGCGCUGGCGUCAUGGCGAGGAGAGACCACCCAGCCCGUCCCUCCCGCUGUCACCAGCUGCAUCACACAGAUCGCCUCGCUCUGCCGACACAUCAAACCCUAGUCCCUAAAACCUAGCUCCUAACCCCUAGUCCCUUAAACAUAGCUCCUAUUCCCUAGACUUUAACCCCUGGCUCCUAACCCCUAGCUCCUAACCCCUAGUCCCUUAAACGUAACUCCUAUUCCCUAGUCUUUAACCCCUCCACACCCCUAACCACUAGUUCCUAAUCCCUAGUCCUUAACCCUUCCACACUCCUAACCCUUAUCUCCUAACCCCUAGCUCUUUAACCCCUAGUCCUCAACACCUCCCCACCCCUAACCCCUAGCUCCUUAACCCCUAGUCCUUAACACCUACCCACCCCUAACCCCUAGUCCUUAACACCUCCACACCCCUAACCCCUAGCUCCUUAUCCCUCCUAAUCCCUAGCUCCUAACCCCUCCUAAUCCCUAGCGCCUAACCCCUAACCCCUCCUAAUCCCUAGUCCUUAACACCUCCACACCCCUAACCCAUAGCUCCUAACCCCUAGUCCUUAACCCCUCCACACCCCUAACCACUAAUUCCUAAUCCCUAGUCCUUAACCCUUCCACACCCCUAAUCCCUAGCUCCUAACCCCUCCUAAUCCCUAGCUCCUAACCCCUCCUAAUCCCUAGCUCCUAACCCCUCCUAAUCCCUAGCU